UCGAGGUUAAUGUUUCGAUUGUCGUAUUUUACCUGUUCAUUGCCAACAUUGAUCCAGCAUGUCGGGAUAUAAACAAUCACUACUUCAGUCAACUUUUUUACUUGAGUAACAUGUGGAAGCACGCUCGGUUCAAUUCUGUUUUUGGCCAUUGUUAUGUAGUUUAAGUUUACGCAACUGUUUCUAAAAUUUAGGUUAAGUGUGUGACAUUACUGCUUAACAUAGAUAUUGAACUCAAUCUGGCGAUGAGGUUUUACAUCAUAGUUUGUUUAUAAAUAAUAGUUGCUAUUUACUGCCAUUUUUGUUUGUUGUUAUUUCUAAAUAUUUCUCCAUAUGCUGAAUGUCGUGUACCACUUAUCUUAACGUUGAUCGAUAUCGUUUUUUUCAGGUACUUUUUGUAACCCAGAAACCCUAAAAGAGAC